rnacentral:rRNA from 1 species
UACGUAGGUGGCAAGCGUUGUCCGGAAUUAUUGGGCGUAAAGCGCGCGCAGGCGGUCCUUUAAGUCUGAUGUGAAAGCCCACGGCUCAACCGUGGAGGGUCAUUGGAAACUGGGGGACUUGAGUACAGAAGAGAAGAGUGGAAUUCCACGUGUAGCGGUGAAAUGCGUAGAUAUCGAGAGGAACACCAGUGGCGAAGGCGGCAUCCUGGACCGAUACUGACGCUGAGGAGCGAAAGCCAGGGGAGCAAACGGG